rnacentral:rRNA from 1 species
UACGUAGGGUGCGAGCGUUAAUCGGAAUUACUGGGCGUAAAGCGCACGUAGGUGGUUUGCUAAGUCAGCUGUGAAAUCCCCGGGCUCAACCUGGGCACUGCAGUUGAAACUGGCAAGCUAGAGUAGGGUAGAGGGGUGUGGAAUCCAGUGUAGCGGUGAAAUGCGUAGAUAAUCUGGAGAACAUCAGUGGCGAAGGCGAGCACCCGUGGACU